rnacentral:lncRNA from 1 species
AUGGUCCAGCAUUUGACAUACUGUCGUAGGCUUUUCUACAAUACAGCCUCUAACAAAACAAGUCUGUCCCAGACCCUUGGUAAUAGAGUUGUUUACCUUUUUACUAAGAACGUUGGGAAAGCACCAAAAUCUGCAUGUGGCAUGUGCCCAGGCAGACAUGGAGGGGUUCGUGCUGUGAGACCUAAAGUUCUUAAUGAGAUUGUCCAAAGCAAAGAACAUGUCAGCAGGGCCUGUGGUGGUUCCAUGUGUGCUAAAUGUGUUUGUGACAGGAUCAAACAUGCUUUCCUUAUUAAGGAGUAGAAAAUUGGGGUGUAAGUGUUGAAGGCACAAGCACAGAGUCAG